AUUGAACGCUGGCGGCAGGCCUAACACAUGCAAGUCGAACGAGUGGCGGACGGGUGAGUAAUGUCUGGGAAACUGCCCGAUGGAGGGGGAUAACUACUGGAAACGGUAGCUAAUACCGCAUACCAUCGGAUGUGCCCAGAUGGGAUUAGCUAGUAGGUGGGGUAACGGCUCACCUAGGCGACGAUCCCUAGCUGGUCUGAGAGGAUGACCAGCCAAACUGGAACUGAGACACGGUCCAAACUCCUACGGGAGGCAGCAGUGGGGAAGAUUGAACAAUUGGCGCAAGCCUGAAGCAGCCAAGCCGCGUGUAUGAAGAAGGGCUUCGGGUUGUAAAGUACUUUCAGCGAGGAAGCGUUACUCGCAGAAGAAGGACCGGCUAACUCCGUGCCAGCAGCCGCGGUAAUAC
rnacentral:rRNA from 1 species